rnacentral:lncRNA from 12 species
CAAAGAGUCCUCUCGUUGGAAUGAGGGCAAAGCGGCUCCCCGAGCGGGGCGAACCGGGUUGGAUUCUGGCUGGAGCGCGGAGGAUUCGGGGCGCCCGAGCUCGUGGGGGAUUGUGUUUCUAUCCUCCAGAUAACCCAGAGGGGACAGUACAAAUCACAGAUCCAACUGAGAAUAACACUUUGUGGUGCAACUUGGAGGGAGCGCAUCACCUUGAACCAUCUCACUUGAUACGUCACGUGUGAAAUAGAGAAAUUAGUAAGCUACUUUUCCAAUUGAAUUAUGGUCAGAACAAAACCAUGGACCUUCAUAAACCACUUUUCAAAUUGCCAACACUUAAGAGUUUGCUUUAAAGAAAAGGUCCUACUUGAGUAAGAGUUUGGGCAAACGUGGUGGAAAAAAAGGGCUCUAAUAGAUCUAACAAUCUUCAGUAACUAUUACCUCACCUUUGAAAAGCCUGAUGAAUCUCAUAUAAUUGUUUCCGGAUAAAUUAAUAGAAUUUGAUCUCCUCAAACGUCCAUACAUCUCAAUUUUUUUUUUUUUUACACUUUGCCACAUAAUCCUGGAUUACUGGAGUUCAUCAUAUAUUUUAUUUUCUAAGCUUCUAGGUGUAUUUCAGUCUCUCUACUGGUGCCAGAAGAAAAAGUGCUUUGGCAGUAACAUUCAAUGGAAAAUCCAUCCUCGGAUACACUAGGACGCAGCUGACACGCAGGGCACGUGUGAAUUUUACAGACAGAUUUAGUGGGCUGUUCGGCAGCAGGGAGAUUAAGGAGCUGAACUCAGUAGUUUCAUAGACGCUGACGUUAUUCGACUUCUGGUAAAAAGCAUUGCAUAGGUUGCAGGUCGGCUCCACAUUUAGCCAUGUACAGUAAUUUAAGUAUCUUAAGUGACAGCACUUCUGUAUAAUCAUAAUCUUAUUCUUUGACUACUUGGAAAAAUUUAUCGGAAGAAAAACAUGAUUCAGUAUGUUGAGCUAUUUUCACCUCACAGAACAAUAUUAUAAAUUUAAUAAAUUACAGUCUGAAAGAGAACA